GCCGGYGAYSSUAAGCCAWWCCGCGUGGGUGAAGAAGGCCUUCGGGUUGUAAAGCCCUUUUGUUGGGAAAGAAAUCCAGCCGGCUAAUACCUGGUUGGGAUGACGGUACCCAAAGAAUAAGCACCGGCUAACUUCGUGCCAGCAGCCGCGGUAAUACGAAGGGUGCAAGCGUUACUCGGAAUUACUGGGCGUAAAGCGUGCGUAGGUGGUCGUUUAAGUCCGUUGUGAAAGCCCUGGGCUCAACCUGGGAACUGCAGUGGAUACUGGGCGACUAGAGUGUGGUAGAGGGUAGCGGAAUUCCUGGUGUAGCAGUGAAAUGCGUAGAGAUCAGGAGGAACAUCCAUGGCGAAGCAGCUACCUGGACCAACACUGA
rnacentral:rRNA from 1 species